UACGGAGGGGGCUAGCGUUGUUCGGAAUUACUGGGCGUAAAGCGCACGUAGGCGGCUUUGUAAGUUAGAGGUGAAAGCCCGGGGCUCAACCCCGGAAUUGCCUUUAAGACUGCAUCGCUUGAACGUCGGAGAGGUGAGUGGAAUUCCGAGUGUAGAGGUGAAAUUCGUAGAUAUUCGGAAGAACACCAGUGGCGAAGGCGGCCAUCUGGACCGCAACUGACGCUGAGGCGCGAAAGCGUGGGGAGCAAACAGG
rnacentral:rRNA from 1 species